rnacentral:rRNA from 1 species
UACGUAGGGUCCGAGCGUUGUCCGGAUUUAUUGGGCGUAAAGAGCUCGUAGGCGGUUUCGUAAGUCGGAUGUGAAAACUCAGGGCUCAACCCGGAGACGCCAUCCGAUACUGCGAUGACUGGAGUCUGGUAGGGGAUCACGGAAUACCUGGUGUAGCGGUGAAAUGCGCAGAUAUCAGGAGGAACACCGGUGGCGAAGGCGGGUCUCUGGGCCGAUACUGACGCUGAGGAGCGAAAGCGUGGGGAGCGAACAGG